rnacentral:rRNA from 1 species
UACGUAGGGGGCAAGCGUUGUCCGGAAUCAUUGGGCGUAAAGAGCGUGUAGGCGGCUUGGUAAGUCCGCUGUGAAAGUCCAGGGCUCAACCCUGGAAUGCCGGUGGAAACUGUCAAGCUUGAGUCCGGAAGAGGCGAGUGGAAUUCCUGGUGUAGCGGUGAAAUGCGCAGAUAUCAGGAGGAACACCGGUGGCGAAGGCGGGUCUCUGGGCCGAAACUGACGCUGAGGAGCGAAAGCGUGGGGAGCAAACAGG